rnacentral:lncRNA from 1 species
CGACGCCGCCGCCCCAGCCGCCUCCCCGACCGGCACCGCUGCUGCACCCGCCUCCGCCGCAACCAGAGUCUACGCCGCCGGAUCCGUGGCCGCCGUCGCCGUCGCGGCAUGGCUCUUGCACUAGAUCUGCUCACUUCCGGAUGACGUCACGGCUUGGUUUUUGGCUCACAUCAGCAGAGAAGGUUGCGGAUCUCCUCGUAUUUUUAGGGUUAGGAAAAUAAUUUAUUAUUAUUAUUAUUAUUGUUAUUAUAUUCGAACGGAAUUUAUUUUAGUGGAUUUUAGAGAAUUUAUGAUUCGGUGAUUAGAGAUUGAUGGACGGUGUUGAUUUGGUUGUACGGUGGUUUCUGCGGUGAAUGAUGAUGAUGAUGAUGAUGAUGACAUUAUUUGAUUACUAUUAUUUGUGGCUCUGUUAUUAAUUAUUAAUAUUACUGCGGAUUUUAUGGAUUUAAUUGAG